rnacentral:rRNA from 1 species
GAUGAACGCUGGCGGCGUGCCUAAUACAUGCAAGUCGAGCGAACGGACGAGAAGCAUGCUUUUCUGAUGUUAGCGGCGGACGGGUGAGUAACACGUGGAUAACCUACCUAUAAGACUGGGAUAACUUCGGGAAACCGGAGCUAAUACCGGAUAAUAUUUUGAACCGCAUGGUUCAAAAGUGAAAGACGGUCUUGCUGUCACUUAUAGAUGGAUCCGCGCUGCAUUAGCUAGUUGGUAAGGUAACGGCUUACCAAGGCAACGAUGCAUAGCCGACCUGAGAGGGUGAUCGGCCACACUGGAACUGAGACACGGUCCAGACUCCUACGGGAGGCAGCAGUAGGGAAUCUUCCGCAAUGGGCGAAAGCCUGACGGAGCAACGCCGCGUGAGUGAUGAAGGUCUUCGGAUCGUAAAACUCUGUUAUUAGGGAAGAACAUAUGUGUAAGUAACUGUGCACAUCUUGACGGUACCUAAUCAGAAAGCCACGGCUAACUACGUG